CGGGCAGUAGCUCAGUGGUAGAGCUCACGCCUCGUAUGUGGGAAGACCUGGGUUGGAUUCCCGGCUGCUUGC
rfam:Toxocara canis scaffold305, whole genome shotgun sequence.